GACGAACGCUGGCGGCGUGCUUAACACAUGCAAGUCGAACGAAGAGCGAUGGAAGCUUGCUUCUAUCAAUCUUAGUGGCGAACGGGUGAGUAACGCGUAAUCAACCUGCCCUUCAGAGGGGGACAACAGUUGGAAACGACUGCUAAUACCGCAUACGAUCUAAUCUCGGCAUCGAGGAUAGAUGAAAGGUGGCCUCUACAUGUAAGCUAUCACUGAAGGAGGGGAUUGCGUCUGAUUAGCUAGUUGGAGGGGUAACGGCCCACCAAGGCGAUGAUCAGUAGCCGGUCUGAGAGGAUGAACGGCCACAUUGGGACUGAGACACGGGCCAGACUCCUACGGGAGGCAGCAGUGGGGAAUCUUCCGCAAUGGACGGAAGUCUGACGGAGCAACGCCGCGUGAGUGAUGACGGCCUUCGGGUUAUAAAGCUCUGUUAAUCGGGACGAAAGGCCUUCUUGCGAAUAGUGAGAAGGAUUGACGGUACCGGAAUAGAAAGCCACGGCUAACUACGUGC
rnacentral:rRNA from 1 species